CGCACGAGUUCAGACUCGUGGCGAAUAGCUCAGUAACACGUGGCCAAACUACCCUUCGGAACACAAUACCCUCGGGAAACUGAGGCUAAUAGUGUAUACCAUACCACCACUGGAAUGAGUGGUAUGCUAAACGCUCCGGCGCCGAAGGAUGUGGCUGCGGCCGAUUAGGUAGACGGUGGGGUAACGGCCCACCGUGCCAAUAAUCGGUAUGGGUCAUGAGAGUGAGAACCCAGAGACGGAAUCUGAGACAAGAUUCCGGGCCCUACGGGGCGCAGCAGGCGCGAAACCUUUACACUGCACGACAGUGCGAUAGGGGGAUCCCAAGUGCACAGGCAUAGCGCCUGUGCUUUUCGGUACCCUAAGGCGGUACCAGAAUAAGGGCUGGGCAAGACCGGUGCCAGCCGCCGCGGUAAUACCGGCAGCCCAAGUGAUGGCCGAUCUUAUUGGGCCUAAAGCGUCCGUAGCUGGCCGCGCAAGUCCAUCGGGAAAUCCACCUGCUCAACAGGUGGGCGCCCGGUAGAAACUGCGUGGCUUGGGACCGGAAGGCGCGACGGGUACG
rnacentral:rRNA from 2 species